AGCACUAACAUACGUGCGGGCAUCACAUUUGGUGGUACGCUGGAAGAUAUGCUACAAGUACGCUGUAUUACUAAUCGACGCUGGCAAUAAUGCGUCUGAAACCUUUGAAGGGCCCUGUAAUGGCUUUUACAAACAGCGCAUUCAAGUUAGCGUUCCAGUCUCAUACGAUAGCCCACAGCGUUUGUCAUACAACCUGCCAGCGCAUUUCCUUCGUCCACGAAAAAAGAUGAAUAAUGGUGAUAAAGAUGAAUAAGCCACCCGUUCCGGCGCGCAUGGCGCGCAGAGAGAGAGCGAAAAAAAAAAUGAAGGAGGAAAAGGCGCUCACACUCCUCCGAGCGCGCGCGCUCUUGCGCGCGGAGCUCCUGCGCAUGCGCGGAGAUCUUGCGCAUGCGCGGCGGUGCGCCAUCUCAACGAGUGCGCCAGGCACGUAUACGGUUGUACCGGUGUGCGGUGUCCGCCUGAACGUUGGUGUCUGUGUAUGCGUGUCAUCUUUGUGGCAUCACACGUCAACUACACUGAACGCAUACACCUGCAGCACCUUUGGGACUAAUGACACAAAGGUCAAGGCCAGCCUGGCGACCAUGCUUGCCAAGGAGUAGUGUAAAUAUUUAAUCUGUUUCCAUAAUAGCAUAAGACAAGAAUUUAAGGAAUUCAUGUAUUAUAUCGAGCAAUAAAAACGGUUAAUGUAUUGCC